AACGUAGGGGGCCAGCGUUGCUCGGAAUUACUGGGCGUAAAGGGUCCGUAGGCGGUGUAGCAAGUCGGAAGUGAAAUCUCUGGGCUUAACUCAGAGGCUGCUUCCGAAACUGCUGUGCUAGAGUGCGAGAGAGGCGAGUGGAAUUGCGGGUGUAGCGGUGAAAUGCGUAGAUAUCCGCAGGAACAUCCGAGGCGAAAGCGGCUACGGCUGGAUCGCAACUGACGCUGGAGGCG
rnacentral:rRNA from 1 species